CUCAAACAAUGGCGCUUCUCAAAUAUUAUCCCAUCAUCCAUUUUCCUUCUUCUCCUCCUUCCUUUCCUCUGCUUAACGAUCAUCAUCCCUCAACACCUAAACUCUUCAAGCUUACCAAAGCAUCCCAUAUUCAAAUAUCCGUUUCACUUUCCUCCCCUUCUUCUUCUCCUCCUCCUCCUCACACUUCUACUGUUCCUCAGUCGUCAACUUCACCAAUUUUCCUACCAUUUCUUCAAGGAAACUCAAAUUCAGAAACCGAACUAAACCCACCUCAAGAAUCGUCAAAAGAUGAAAACUUUGACUCCAAAGUUAACAGAGAUGACCCACUUAUCAGAUUCUUCAAGUCUCAAACUUCGAACCCGGACCCGGACCCGGGUAAAGAAGGCAAAAUUUCCGUCCGGAAAAACCGAAAAUCCUCUUGGCACCUAGCUUUUGAAACUGAUAAUUCACCUCAAGGUGAUGAAGAAAUUGAAAAUUUUCAACUGGGUUCUCCUUUAGUUGACUCAAAUUCAGUUAGUACCAGUGAAUCAAAAGUAGGUGGGAUGGUUGGGGAAAUAUUAGAAAAGGCGAAGACUUUGCCGGACAACUCAACUCUAGGUGAGGUUUUGGGAGGAUUUCAGGGGAAAGUGAGUGAGAAAGAUUGUUGGGAGGUAUUGGGAAUGCUGGGUGAGGAAGGGCUAAUAAGGAGUUGUGUGUAUUUUUUUGAAUGGAUGAGAUUGCAGGAGCCUUCUUUGGUUUCUCCUAGAGCUUGUUCCGUUCUGUUUCCCCUUUUGGGGAUAGCAGGAAUGGGAGAUGAGAUAUUGGUAUUAUUCAGGAACUUGCCUGAUGAGAAAAGAUUCGGGGAUGUUCAUAUUUAUAAUGCUGCAAUUUCAGGACUUUUGGGAUGUGGGAGGUAUGAUGAUGCUUGGGGAGUAUACAAAUCAAUGGGAACAAAUAAUGUCCAACCAGAUCAUGUGACGUGCUCCAUUAUGGUUACAGUUCUGAGAAAGAAGGGUAAUAGUGCUAAAGAUGCAUGGGAGUUGGUUGAAAAGAUAAAAACAAAAGGAGUCAAGUGGAGUUUGGAAGUUUCAGGUGCGUUAAUCAAGUCCUUUUGUGAGGAGGGACUGAAGAAGGAAGCUCUUAUUAUCCAAUCAGAUAUGGAGAAAAGAGGGAUUUCUUCCAAUGCUGUUGUGUAUAAUACAAUCAUGGAUGCAUAUUGUAAAUCAAACCAGAUUGAAGAAGCUGAGGGUCUUUUUGUCGAGAUGAAGGCUAAGGGAAUUUCACCCACUGCUGCCAGUUAUAACAUUCUAAUGGAUGCUUAUAGCAGAAGAAUGCAGCCUGAAAUUGUUGAGAAACUGAUGCUAGAGAUGGAAAAUGUGGGGUUGGAGCCUAAUGUCAAAUCAUAUACAUGUUUAAUUAGUGCUUAUGGAAGGCAGAAAAAAAUGAGUGACAUGGCUGCAGAUGCAUUCUUGAAAAUGAAAAAGGUUGGUAUAAUUCCUACGUCACAUUCUUAUACAGCUCUCAUUCACGCCUAUUCAGUAAGUGGCUGGCAUGAGAAAGCUUAUUUGGCUUUUGAGAAUAUGCAAAAGGAGGGAAUUAAACCCUCCAUUGAAACCUAUACUGCUCUGCUUGAUGCAUAUAGACGUGCUGGUGACACCCAAAUGCUGAUGGAGAUUUGGAAGAUGAUGAUAAGGAAUAAAAUUGAUGGCACACGGGUGACCUUUAACAUUCUCUUGGAUGGAUUUGCUAAACAAGGACACUAUGUUGAAGCAAGAGAUGUAAUAUGUGAAUUCAGAAAAACUGGAUUUGAACCAACCAUAAUGACUUAUAAUAUGUUAGUGAAUGCGUAUGCAAGGGGAGGACAAGAAUCAAAAUUGCCACAGCUUCUGAAGGAGAUGGCUGCAUUGCAACUGAAACCUGAUUCUAUCACUUAUUCUACGAUGAUAUAUGCUUAUCUACGUGUCCGAGAUUUUAGAAGGGCAUUCUUUUAUCACAAGCAGAUGGUGAAAAGUGGGCAGGUUCCAGAUGCCAGAUCAUAUGAGAAGCUUAGGGCAAUCUUGGAUGCGAAGGCCAAAAUAAAGAAUAGGAGGGAUAAGAGUGCUCUUAUGGGUAUAAUUAAUAGCAGCUUGGGUUUGAUGAAACAGAAGAAAAAAAGGAAAAAAGAUGAGUUUUGGAAAAAUAGAAAGAAACGGUCAAGAACACAUGGCACAGCCAAAGCUGGAAGCUGAAACUUAGGUCCUUGUCUUUAUUUUCAGAUUGGAGUUCUUUAACUUUGAUUAGCUCUUAAAUUCAGCCCUACAUUACUAGGCUGGACCAUAUUUUAAUUGUCCAGAAGUGCAUAGGAGAUUUUGCUCGAAUUUUAGGUUGAAAGCUUGAGAUCUGCUGCUCUUGGAGCAGGAUCUGUAGCUUUUAUGAUGGAGCCACCAAUGUAUUUCUCAAGAAGUAAUACAUGAAUUUAGAAGCUGGGGAAUGACCAUUGUGGCAAGGUAUAUUUCGGGUGGCUUUACAUUUCCUUCCGAGGAUCCAUCUGCAUAGUUUUACAAGAUGGCCUUCAAGGUACUCAUAAAGGCUGGCUGUGACCAACACGAGAAAAGUAGUCAUUGCAUGAGUGGUUAUAUAUGCAGGCAUAAACUUGUUCUCAGAAGAUGAGAAUAUUUUGUGGAUUUGGCCCUGGACCCGCAAUGUUUGAAAACUAGAAAGCUGAAAAGACUCUCUGAAUUAUGAGCGGCAUUUGGAGGAUGUUGUGGCGAAUUCUGAGGACUGAGACAGUACUGUAGUGGAAAGACUUGGCAAUGGACAUUGUUAUGCUGUCUCUGAGAACUGCUAAAUGCUUAGUUUUGAGGACUUUCAGGGAAGCCUUUUUGGAUAUCUCAAACGCUUGGGGUCAUGGGAUCAGUCUUAAUCUCUAUGAAUUAAUUGAUCAUGUUCUGAGCUCUCGUUUGACAAGCCCUGAUCACCAUGAUGGCAGAUAAAGUUUCCUGAAAAGGUCAAGAUUAUUGUUUGGCUGAUUCCACAUUUCAUUGGGGGAUAUUCUGGUGUAACAUGUUUAUUUUCCUCGUGAUCUGCUAAUCCUAACUAUAUGGAAUCAUAAGUAGGAGUAAAAGUCAUUCAACUGGUUAUAAUCCUCAUAGGACUUCGAGCAAAAGAUGUUUGUUGGGCUGCCGGAAUUAAAGGGGGAAAGCCGGCUUGGUUCAUGUUAACAUAUUGGAAUUCUAUGUUGCAUGCUUAAGACAGACUUAUAUAAGAAUAUCAAUCAGAAAUAGAGAUGUUUGUAACAUAUCUCACUAUCUCCACACACUCCUCCUCACCCACACAAACACCCCCUCCUUCCAAAGAUGUUGCUUGGACCACGGGCGAAUGGUUGCAGGUGCAACUGUUUCUAGCGGUUUUCUGCAUUUUGCACACCGCGUAAUUUUGUUUGCACAAUGUGUAACUUUAGAACCAAUUUUUAUGGGUUUCACACA